rnacentral:rRNA from 1 species
AGGAUGAACGCUGGCGGCGUGCCUAAUACAUGCAAGUCGAGCGGUAACACUUCGGGUGACGAGCGGCGGACGGCUGAGUAACACGUAGGAACAUACCCCAGAGUGAGGGAUAAGCACCGGAAAACGGUGUCUAAUACCGCAUAACCUCUUCGGAGAAAAGCUUCGGCGCUUUGGGAAUGGCCUGCGCAUGAUUAGCUUGUUGGUGAGGUAAAAGCUCACCAAGGCGACGAUCAUUAGCUGGUCUGAGAGGGUGAUCAGCCAGACUGGGACUGAGAACGGCCCAGACUCCUACGGGAGGCAGCAGUAGGGAAUUUUCCACAAUGGGGGCAACCCUGAUGGAGCAACGCCGCGUGCAGGACGAAGGCUUUCGGGUCGUAAACUGCUUUUAUCUGUGACGAAUAUGACGGUAGCAGAUGAAUAAGGAUCGGCUAACUCCGUGCCAGCAGCCGC